AUUGAACGCUGGCGGCAUGCCUUACACAUGCAAGUCGAACGGUAACAGGUCUUCGGAUGCUGACGGGUGGCGAACGGGUGAGUAAUACAUCGGAACGUGCCUAGUAGUGGGGGAUAACUACUCGAAAGAGUGGCUAAUACCGCAUGAGAUCUACGGAUGAAAGCAGGGGAUCGCAAGACCUUGUGCUACUAGAGCGGCCGAUGGCAGAUUAUGUAGUUGGUGGGAUAAAAGCUUACCAAGCCGAAGAUCUGUAGCUGGUCUGAGAGGACGAUCAGCCACACGGGGACUGAGCCACGGCCCAGACUCCGACGGGAGGCAGCAGUGGGGAAUUUUGGACAAUGGGCGCAAGCCUGAUCCAGCAAUGCCGCGUGCAGGAUGAAGGCCUUCGGGUUGUAAACUGCUUUUGUACGGAACGAAAAGCCCUGGGUUAAUACCCUGGGGUCAUGACGGUACCGUAAGAAUAAGCACCGGCUAACUACGUGCCAGCAGCCGCCGUAACAC
rnacentral:rRNA from 1 species